rnacentral:tRNA from 1 species
UAGCUCACUGGUUUGAGCGCAGUGCUGACAUCAAUGACAACACUGAGGUCGUGGGUUUGAUUCCCAC